GUAGGUGGCAAGCGUUGUCCGGAAUUAUUGGGCGUAAAGCGCGCGCAGGCGGUCCUUUAAGUCUGAUGUGAAAGCCCACGGCUCAACCGUGGAGGGUCAUUGGAAACUGGGGGACUUGAGUACAGAAGAGGAAAGCGGAAUUCCAAGUGUAGCGGUGAAAUGCGUAGAGAUUUGGAGGAACACCAGUGGCGAAGGCGGCUUUCUGGUCCGUAACUGACGCUGAGGCGCGAAAGCGUGGGGAGCAAACAGGAUUAGAUACCCUGGUAGUCCACGCCGUAAACGAUGAGUGCUAAGUGUUAGGGGGUUUCCCGCCCCCUUAGUGCUGCAGCUAACGCAUUAAGCACUCCGCCUGGGGAGUACGGCCCGCAAGGCUG
rnacentral:rRNA from 1 species